GUCGGUUGAUCCUGCCGGACCCACUGCUAUCGGUGAUAGGACUAAGACAUGCUAGUCGUGUGUUCAGCUAAAAAGAAGCACGGCAUACAGCUCAGUAACACGUGGCUAACCUGCCCUUGGGACGAGAACAACCCCGGGAAACUGGGGCUAACUCUCGAUAGGCGAAAAUCUCUGGAAUGAGUUUUCACCCAAAAAGUUUGAGGUUAUGCUCUCUAAACCGCCCAAGGAUGGGGCCGCGACCGAUCAGGUUGUUGGUGAGGUAAUGGCUCACCAAGCCUUUUACCGGUGCGGGCCGUGGGAGCGGGAGCCCGGAGAUGGGCACUGAGACAAGGGCCCAGGCCCUACGGGGCGCAGCAGUCGCGAAAACUUUGCAAUAAGCGAAAGCUUGACAGGGCUAUCCCGAGUGCCAUCCGCUGAGGAAGGCUUUUACCCAGUCUAGAACGCUGGGGGAAUAAGGAGAGGGCAAGUCUGGUGUCAGCCGCCGCGGUAAUACCAGCUCUCCGAGUGGUGUGGAUGUUUAUUGGGCCUAAAGCAUCCGUAGCUGGCUAGGUUAGUCCCCUGUUAAAUCCACCGAAUUAAUCGUUGGAUUGCGGGGGUACUGCUUGGCUC
rnacentral:rRNA from 1 species